AGCUUCUACUACAAAUUUUGUAGUAGAAGCUUCUACUACAAGGUUUGUAGUAGAAGCUU
rnacentral:pre_miRNA from 1 species